UACGUAGGGUGCAAGCGUUGUCCGGAAUUAUUGGGCGUAAAGAGCUCGUAGGCGGUUUGUCGCGUCUGCUGUGAAAACUCGGGGCUUAACCCCGGGCCUGCAGUGGGUACGGGGCAGACUAGAGUGCGGUAGGGGGAGACUGGAAUUCCUGGUGUAGCGGUGAAAAUGCGCCAGAUAUCAGGAGGAACACCGAUGGCGAAGGCAGAUCUCUGGGGCAUUAACUGACGCUGAGGAGCGGAAAGCAUGGGGAGCGAACAG
rnacentral:rRNA from 1 species